UUGACAGCCCUGGAGACUGAUGUCCCAUGUAUCUCAGAACAGGUGCACAUGGGCAUUGUCCUGCCAAUGUGACUCAACCUAAAGGUGGAAAGACCAAUUCUCAGCUUAGAUGGUAGUCCAGUAUAAAGCCUUCUCAAACCGCAGUCACC
rnacentral:sRNA from 1 species